UAUCAUAAAAUGGUUAAGGAACCAACAAGAGGGUAUUGUUUUAUUCAACCAGAUCUAGAAAUUCUUCGAUCAUGAAUCUGAUAAUCCAAGCUCAAAUGGUUGAUGAGUUACAGCCCAAUCACCACAGGUAAGCAGCCUGAAAACCACGAGUUAUGGGAGCGAAAGAAACAUGAACUGACAUAACCAUGCCAAAAUGUUUAUCCGUGGUAUUCGUUUUCCUCUCCUCCCUUUUGCUGCUAAAAACCAAUUAUAAGUCAUCUGCAUACAUACAUACACACAAAGGAACGAUGUAUAUGUAUAUGUACCACCAUAAAAACACUGACCAAUUAUUACUGGCAGUCAUAACCACUUAGACAUUCCGACAAACAAUCCAGGAUCUCUUGAUGCAUCUUUGCCUGUUCUAAUGAAACUUGACCUUGAAGCAGCAGCUCUGUUGCUACUAAAGCCUCGUACAUACAAAAACAGUAAAAUUAGAAAGCAUCCUGUCAAUAUGAAAUUAUGAAUGCAUAAAAAAUCAGUCCAAUUACUAACAUAAGAAAAAAUUAUUUUGCUCACAUUGACAUGCAUCCUUAUAUCCAUCAAAUUUAAGUUUCAACGUACCACAUAAAACAGAUGCCAAAGUUCAAUCACAGUAAGGAAGCCAUUUAUAAAUGUUUUAAGUAUAUUGAAAAACGAAAUUUUUUUUAAUACAAUUAAGUUCCGCAUGUCAAACAAAAGAAUAAAUGAAAGAAUUUGCAGCACAGUGCCGUUUCUAAGUCUGCUCAACAAGCAAAGCAGAAGAGAUAUGAUGAUAAUGUUUAACAAAAGUAUAGCUUAACUAUAAAUCUGUAGCAUAAAAUGGAACAUUUAAUUAAUACAAAAAUUAUAUAAGAGCAAUUCUAGUUCAGAGGUAUAAGGCCAGGCAGCUUACAUAAGCCAAAAAAAAGAAGCAACUAAGACACAAGGCAACUUACAAGAGAAGUAUAAGAGAAAAUAUGGAAACAAAGAAAUAAACUGAUAAAAAAAGCAACCAAGACACAAGGCUAACUUCAGAAUAAAGAAAUGACAAGUCAAAUAGCAAACAGAAUCAAGAAAUAACAACUCAAAUAGCAAACACUAGAAAUACUAAAAGAAAGGUCGACUUAAAUGCAUUUAAAAAAUAGCAAAUAUAAAUAAGGCAAAAAGAAGAUAUCAAACUAAUUGAAGAGACACAGAAAACCCCUAGCUAAAUUAAAGUUCAUAAGAAUUUAAAUUUUAAAGACAUGAGAAAUAUCAAAUUAAAGGGCGAAGACAUGAGAUAUGAAAUUUCAGCCUAGACAGAGAAUAAAUGAAUAAACAAAUAAAAGAAAAUCAUAAUGAGGGGAAAAGGAAAAUAAAUUGAUUUAAGAAGCAAAUAAAACAUGGGGCUAAUUUAAGAUUCUCAAAGUUUCAGAGCCAAAGAAACAUAACACCAAAUACAAAGCAAAUAGCAAAUAUCUCAAAAAAUCUAAACAUUGAAUCAGCAUCAACAUAUUCAAAAAAUAAAAUAAAAUUCUAAAUGGAGAAAGUAAAGAAAAAAAAAGAAAAUAAGCUGAUCAAACAAACAAAGAAAGUCCAAGCCCACAUUAAGAUUCACAAAAGAGAUCAAAUACAUAAUAAAACACUAGAUCCAGCUCAAACAAUAAAGACCUUAGACACUGAAAUAGAGCUCAUGUUAACAUAUUUAAUUAAAAAAAAAAAGAACACCAAAUAGAGAUAUAUAAAAUAAAAAAAAAUAACUUAACAAAAGAAUUAGGAGGCCCCAAUAAAGAAUUUCAAGCAAGAAUUAUAACACUGAAUCUAACCCACAUAAUGUAGACCUGGAUAUUGAACCAUGCCCACAUCAGUAUAUUAAAAGAAUGCAAAAAUAGACAAAACACAAAAAAUGAAUACAAACUCAUCAAAGGAAUAGAGAAGACCCCAGGAUAACUUAAGAUUCAUAAGAUUAAAAAGUAAAAUAGAUAUCACAAAAUCCAACAUCGAUGACAACAACUUUAAAUAUUAAGAUAAAAGUUUGCACUGAAUACCUUGAAAAAAUCAUGAAACAAAAUACCAAAACAGAAAAAGUAAAGGGAUAGCAUACAAAGCCUUGAUCAUAUACAACACUCAAUCCAGCCCUGCAAAAAAAGCAGCAUACAUAAUACAAAGAGACAAAAUAAGGAACAAAUCUUGGCAAAAUAAAACAUUAAAAGUGAAAAAAGAAACGGGAGAGAGAUGAUUGCCUUGAGGAAGAGAUUAUCUAUGUCAUAGUUCCUUGAGAGAAUGUUAAUGAAAAGAGAUUACCUUAAUUACGAGAAGUAAAAUAGGAGCUUAGGGAUUAAAAAAAGGGUGGAUGCUAUGGUCGAAUAGAAGGAAUUUGAAGUUGGCAAAGCAAAGGAGGCUAGACUUCAAAAGUAAACCCAAGCAUAUAAAAUGCUCUUCAAGGGAGCUUUGCAUCUGCAACAAGUUCAAAACUAAGACACAGCACAAGGAGAGCCUAUAUUGAAUUGAUCUCAUAAAUAUCAAAGCAGUGUACAAAUAUAGUGUGUUCGACUUUCCCACCUGUUCGGUAAGAAUUCCUCUCCUUCCUGCAAAAUGCAAAAAAAUGAAAUAAUUUGGCAUCUAUAAUGAUAUAAAAUCGAGGGUAACUUGAGAAGUUCAAUUCUUGAAAUGCAUUGGGUGUCACAGAUUUUCCAUCAAGAGAGUGCUGGGAGAAGAUUUAAAAUCUGAGUGUUUUGUGGCUGUUAGUGGCUCAGUUGGGAAGCUGCUCCUUCAAGUUCUUUUUCCCAUGCCUCAAGCAAAAAGUAGUGCAUUGGUUGUUGUGGGGGGUGGGGGGCAGAGAUUGUUGUGGGUUUAGAUGUACAAAGCCUUGCCUCUACAUGUGGUGAGGUUGUUUCUGUAUUUCGAAUCCAUGACACCCAAGUCACAAGGAAGCAACCAUACAAGUGCAUCAAAGCCAGCCUUUCUGUAUUCAUAUACCAUGAUUUGAAAAGGCUGGUGCACCAAAUAGUCAAGAGCAAUAGGAUAGUAUUAACAUGAAACAUGAUUAUCUUGGCACUAGCAACCUAUAAAAUGCAGCCAAGACAGAUAAUCCAAUCAUUUAAGUUAUAACAUAUUCUUGAUUUUUCCAUUUGGGCUCUUUCACAUGGAUUGCAGGUUGAACUCAUUAACACGAGCUUCAUUCACAUGUACAUAAACGGAUCAGUUGUAAGCUAUGGCUUCUGCACAUAGCAAGAUGCUGCAGAGAUGAGACUUUGCAUGGGCAUUUGAUUGCUACAUUAUAUCUGCAAUAGAACCACAUUAUUUUGAGCUCACUACGAAAAGACAAACCUAUAGAAGAAUGGAGAACAGUCCAUGGAAUAUAAGUUACUAAUUAAUAUACUGAUGAACUAUCAAAGUCAUCAUCAGCAACUCCGUCUAGAGUGACAAAGUGAGGAAAUAAAAAGCUCUAAAAUAUGGACAAAAUUAUAGCCGUCCAUAAACAAAUAGCAAGCCAAUAUUUUCAUUAUAGGCAAAGAGCAAGAUAGGACCAGAUCAACAAAUAUUACCCGUUAACUACAUAGUAGAAAAAGCAAUGCAUUGCAAAUAUCAAACAUGAGAAAGCAACUGUGAAUGGGGAGACGCAUUGAAAUCUUUUGUAAUUAUGCAUUGAUAAUUAAGAACAGAUCACAUUGUCCUGAAUUUGAUGGGCAUAAAUUAUGAUAAUGAUGAUGAUGAUGUGUCUUUCUAUAAUAAAACAUCAUAUAUACACUCUCUAUGGAUAUAGUUUUAUAGAAAAGAAGAAAUGAAUCAUAGUAAUAUGUAGAUAAAACAAAUCAACUGAGUUUUAUCUUGUUUUUUCAGAUCAACAUAAAGAACUUCACAUGUCAAGAAAUUCACCUUACUUGAAUAAAGAGAUUGCUUCCUACAGUUGCAUAAGCAUAAAAAUAAGACCUCAAUGCAAUAAUAAGAUCCACCAUGAAUAAUUAAUGAAAUUAAAAUCACUCCAAUUCAGUUAAAAAAAGAAGACAGCCAAUCUCAGAACAAGUCAGUGGGCACAGACCACAUUUUCAAGAAUCAAUAUAUGUGAAUGAGAUAGAAGAUCACGUUAGCAAUAUUCCAGAAAGAUCUCCUCAGGGUAUCACCGGAGAGAGAGAAUCCAGGGUCUGAGUCCCCAUAAAACAGGAACAAUGUGGUCUAUGGCUCCAGCAUCACAAUGCCUUCAUCUUUCUUUGUCCUUGGAUCCUCUGAAGCAAAGCACUGAGUAAGUCUGACUCCUUUGAAUACUGCACUGGGAUAGGGCUGAAAAAGGGUCGGAUUUUAUCUGAUCGUAUCCGUAUCCGCAUCCGAUUUGGGUUGGAUUCGGAUAUAUUUCAUUGAAUCUGAUUGGAUCCGGAUACUUAGGCAGGAAAAUAUACAGAUACGGAUUCGAAUACGGAUUUUACUUAUUUUUUCGAAUUCGGAUACGGAUAUCCGCAUAAUACAAUCCAUAUCUCAGAUUCAGAUCCAAUUUCCUCAACUAUCCGCAUCCGCGAACCCGUCGAUUAAUAAUCCUAUUUCCUUUCCAUCCCGAUAUUCCCCGACCCUUCGACUCUUCGACUUCGAGUCUUUCUUCUCCAUCCCGACUGACGGCCAGGGUUUUGCUUCCCUCCUUCCACACCACCACAAGGAAUCUCAACCAACGACCGACAGCCAGCGAUCAGCAUCCUUCUCAACAGGCAACUGGUAACGACAAGGUCCUUUUCAAUCAAUGUUCAACACUUCGACGGCAAGCAUAUCGUUUCCAAAUCAUUCGCUGACAAGGGUUCUUCUUCUUCCUGGUUUCUUGACCAUCUUCCGGUGACAAGAAUCCUUUCUGGUAAGAGUCCUUUCCAUCAAGAAUCCUUUCCAAUGAAUGGAUUCCGGUGACAGGUGGAGAAGGAUGUCGCUUUUGCUUUAGCUUUGGCCUUUGAUCUUGGUAUUUUUUUGCUUUGCUUUUUUCGUUGCUUGGGGCCCUGAGACUCGUUACAAAUCGAAGCUUUCCCAAAGACCCACUGUCAUCCAAUGUGGCCCAGUGGUCAUCCAUACCCAUCCCUGCUCCCUCGCCUUUCCAUCCCAAAGAACAACAUCUCCCACAGGCCAAUGCUUGCUUUUAGCCUCCCUCAGCUCAAGGAGCCGGGAAAACAGUUCGGACUUCCUUAGCCUGAUGAUCUCAGAGGUGGUGAUCUCUAUGGCCUGGGAGGACACCAACAUCUGGGACUCCAGUCUAUGAAUCUCCUUCCUAUUCUUCUCAACUCUCACAUAGUCCACUCCCCAUGCCUCUUGCUUCCUUAGCAGGCCCGCCCUUCUCUCGUGGUCUUCCUUGAGUCUCUAAGAAUUCCACGGUAGAUAAAAACAGUAUAGAAAAAUCACAGAUGAGAGAAAAGAGCAUGUUCUUUUGAACUAGGAAAAUCAAGAUAAAACAAGCAUUCCUUUUGGCAAAUUUCUCUUAUUACUGCUUUCUUCGAAACUAAUAGGUUUUUGGGCAAUGUUCUUGGGCCCCAACACAACAAAAUAAAUAAAGAGAACAGAACAAAAGGCAUGUGUGCUCUAGUGGAAUAAGAACAAACGCUUAUGUUAAUUUAUUAAUGAGGAAGGUACUGUACCUUUUUUUAAUGCAAAGAAGGUACUGUACCUUGACUUCAAGAAAGAGCUUCUCCUCCCAAUCUACCGUGGAAGAAUGACUCAUGCUUCCAAUGCCAACUAAAUAAAAUUAUAUGUUGACCUGUGAGGAGGACCUUUCUUCCCUUCUUAAAUGGUCAUCCGUAUCCAUUCCUACUUCCUCACCUUUCUAUCUUGGAGAACAAUAUCUUUACAUAAUAAUAAUAUUAUUUGAUGUUAUUAUUUUAAUGUUGUUACAAAGGAUUUUUCUGCAUAUCAUUUAUUAUGUUUCAUUAGUCAAAAACUUGUAUAUAGAUAUUUUGAUCUUUUAUCUGACAAUUACUCUUUACUUUGUUUGAUCAUAACUUGAUGCAUAAGAUAAAUUUUUUGUCUUUUGAAUGCAGUUGUUAUACACCAUGUCUUCUAGUGGGACAAUUGAAGAUGCAAAUAGUAAAUCAGUUGAGCCUACAAAUCAAAUAGAGGGGCAAAGAAAAAAGAAAAAGCUAACAUCUAAAAUUUGGGAUGAUUUUACAAAGUAUGAAUUACAAAAGGAAGUAGAUGAAAAAAUUAUUAAAAAAGAAAAGGCAAGAUGCAAUCACUGCAAAAGAAUAUUUAAUAAAGCCAAUAGCUUAGGGACAACACAUUUGAAAAACCAUCUUGACAAAUGUCAUCCAUUUUUGAAGAAUGCUACUGCUAAAGGCCAACAAAUGUUGCAAGCAUCAUUGAAAAGAGAGGAUGGUACUUGUUCUUUGGACACAUGCAUAUUGUGAAGAGAUUAGCCAUAAGAAACUGAUACAAAUGUUUGUUAUGCAUGAAUAUCCAUUUUCUAUGGUUGAGCAUGAUGGAUUUGUUGAUUUUGUUAAAUCUUUACGACCAUCUUUCGAAUUAAAGAGUCGCAUAACUCUUAAAAAGAGGAUUAUGAAGACAUAUUUAAAGGAAAGAAAAAAGGCCUAUGAUAUAUUGGGUCUACUUUCUUGUCAGAUAAGCACAACUAUGGAUUUAUGAACUUUUAGACAAAAUAAGUCUUAUUUGUGUGUACUGGCACAUUUUAUUGAUGAUGAUUGAAAUUAAAAAAAAAAUAAUUAACUUUAUGCAUAUGGGAGGAAGUCAUAUAGGAGUCAAUUUAUGCAAUAUAUUUAUCAAAAAUAUGAUAGAUUGGAACAUUGAUCGUAAGUUAUUUGUAUUAACCUGGGACAAUGAUCAUGCCAAUGAUGUUUAUGCUAGAGAAUUGUGGAAAAACUUAAAGUAGCACUUGUAUGCAAUGGCCAGUUCUUUCAUGUGAGAUGUGCAGCACAUAUUAUUAACUUAGUUGUACAAGAUGGACUAAAAAAAAUCAAUAUGGCAAUUGAAAAUAUCCGAGAAAUGGUGAAAAUUGUUCGAAGCUCUCCACUAUAAUUAGAGGAGUUUGAGAAGAGGGACAAAGAAUGUAAUUUGGAGACAUACAGAGGUUUGUCACUUAAUGUUCCUACACGGUGGAACUCUACAUAUAUGAUGCUUAGGGAUGCUUGUUGUUAUAAAGAGACUUUCAAAAGAUUGCAGUGUGUUGAUCCAUACAAAUUCGAUAUGUGUCCAAUAAAUUAUCAAUGAAAAGAGGUAAAAGUAUUUUGUCAAGCAUUGAAAAACUUCUAUAACAUCACCGAGCUCCUUUCAGGCACAACAUAUCCAACUGCAAAUUUUUUUUUUCAAGAAUUUUGCGAAAUUCAAUUGCAAUUUAUUGAGUGGUGCACAAAUCCUAAGGAUCAAUUUUUUCUCGUUAUGUCAUUAUCAAUGAAAGAGAAAUUUGAUAAAUAUUGGCAACAAUCAAAUCUUAUGCUAGCAAUGGGCUCAUUCCUAGAUCCUCGCUGCAAAAUGAAGAUGGUAGAAUUUUAUUACUCACAAAUCUAUUCUUUAAAUGGAGAAAAAGAUGUCAAUAAUGUUCAUAAUGUUAUUCGGAAGCUUUAUAGUGAGUAUGAAAGCAAAUUUCCUUCAUCUUCUGUUCCACUUACUCAUAAUAUUGGUUCAUCGAAAGAUAGUGGAUAUAUUUCUGAUGAAUUUGAUGAGAUGAAAGGAAGAAAAAGAAGGUUUGCAUAAUUUAUGAAGAAGAAUGGACAGCCUCAACAAAUUUAAAACAGAUUUGGAUAUAUAUAUAUAUAGAGAGAGAGGAACCUAUUUGGCCAUGGGUUGAAGGUGAUGUUUUUGAAAUUUUAGGCUGGUGGAAAUCUAAUGGUCCAAAGUAUCCCAUCCUAUCUCGGAUUGCAAGAGAUAUUUUGGCAAUUCCAGCAUAUACUGUAGCUUCAGAAUUAGCAUUUAGUACAGGUGGAUGAGUGAUAGAUGCAUUCCGAAGUUCAUUAGAUCCUUAAUAUUGUUGAAGCUGUGAUUUAUCUUCAAGAUUGGCUAAGAUCUGAAACAAAAGGUAACUUGUUGUAUUUUACAUAAAAUUUUUAUUAAGUUUAACUUAUUUAUAAUACUUUACUAGUUAUUUUUUUAUUUUGUUUUAGGUCCUAUUGCUUCUGUUGUUCAUGAUCUUGAUUCUACUGUUGCAUCGGAUAGCUAUUCUAUCUCUGUUGAAGACUCAAACAAAUCAACAUCAAUUCAUAUAUUAUGAUAAGGUAAAUGAGUAUAAUAUAUAGUUUUAAAAAAUUUUGUUAUUAUUUUUAUUUAUAUACUAAUAUCAUCUUUUUUAUUUCAGGAUGAUUGCCGAUUGGAGCAUUGAAGAUUGCCACAUGAUGUUAUCAACUAAAUUAAACUAUUUUACUUAAUAGUUUAUAAAACUUUUCUAAAGAUAUUUGAGUUUAUGGGAUAUAAUUAAGGUUUAUCUUUGAAUGAGAUUAACUAUGGUGGAUGGUGGUUGUAUUUUUUGAUACUAUUUAUGCAUUUAAAUCCUUAUUCUUAUAUCAUUUAUCUUAUGGGGAUUAUGCUACUUAUUUGAAUCAUUUAUCAUUUGAAUUCUUGCUCUUUUAAUAAAUGAAAGCUAUAAAUCUAAAAUAAUAUUACGAUUCUUGUUAUGAUGAAGUCGAAAUAUAAGAGCUCUAGUGAGAAAGUAGGUAUAUUUUUUUUUUUUGAAUGAUUAUUAUUUUGGAAUAUUGAUGUAUCUUAAUUAAUUUUUUUAUUUUCUUUUAUUUGCAUUUAGGUACUUUCAUUACGAGUAUGGACAAACAUAUGUUCAUACUAACUAAAGAGGGUGUUGCUGAUCAUUUGGAUUCUCAAUAUAAGGUACAUAUCAUCUUUAUUUCUAAAUAUUUUAGAUUUUUAUUAUCUACUUUUUACCUUCAAUGGAGCUUUGGAUUAUAAUUAUCUUUCUUGCAUGUAAUUAUGAUUAUGAUUAUCUUAGAUUCUUAAUGAUCAUAUCAUUAUAUCUAAUUUUCAUCAUUGAAUUUUGUUUACAAUUUGAUUAAUAUCUAAAAUAAUAUCCGAUGUAUAUCCGUAUCCGGAUAUAAUAAAUAUGGAUAUGCUUGAUAUCCAAUUCGUAUCCAUAUCCAUUUAUAACAAAUACGGAUAUGCUUGAUAUCCAAUUCGUAUUCAUGUCCAUUUAUAACAAAUACGGAUAUGCUUGAUAUCCGAUUCGUAUCCGUAUCCAUAUCCGUAUUCGUUAAAAAAUAUGGAUAUAAAUAUGGAUAUACCACUAUCCGAUCCGUAUCCGAUCCGUUUUCAGCCCUAGCUGAGAACUUGAAUGAAAUGGGGAUGAUCAGCUGACUUCUAUUCUCUAGGGUUGCCCUUCUCGAGACCCAAUUGGACUUCUGAGUUCACUCACUUCUUUGUGAAAGAAAGGGCUUUAAGAACUUGUCAAGCAGCAUCCUAUUAGGAGUAUGAGAUAGAAAGACUUAGCUCCACCUUGCCUUUGCAUCCAACAAAGAAUCAACAUCUCGAAGUUCCCCUAACUUUAAUAAAGCUUGCUUUCAAAUUCAGCAAAACAAUAUGAUUUUGUUCUACUGAACCUAAGAUCACUUCAGUUAGUUCAACCAAAGGAAGAAAAUACAGCCAAUUGCAGAACAGAUCACCUAUUCAAGAAUCAAUAUAUAUGAGAGCAACAGAAAGAAAUGGUCAUACUAACAAAGUACUGACCAAAAUGAUGUCCUCAAAGUAUCAAAGGGCAGAGCAUAGGGUUUGAGUCUGCCAAUGAUUCCCAUAUUCCCCAACAAUGCCCUUUUCUUUGCUUGACGAGGGAUGUCAGAAUUCUCAAAGGAGAUUAUGGUUUCCGGAAAAGAGGGUUCCUCCUCUUCCCUUGACCUUGGAUCCUUUGCAGAGAAACAAAGAAGAGACACCUCAAAGAGAUUAGGGUUAGCGUUUCUAGAAGGGAGAUAGAGAGGGGGGGGAGAGUGAAGAGGGGAGAUCAGAGCAUACAGUAACCACAGGAAGUGAAAAAUGGAGCAUAUGGGAAUUUAAAGAUGGAAUUAUCAUGUUUUUGAAACAUAAUAAACUUUAGAAUAAUGAUUAUGUACAAAUAAGUGAAACACUGCUUGGAGAUUGAUGUUGGAGAUAGCAUUUGCAUGGAAAUUCUUCCAUUCCAUGCUUUUAUUUCACUUUUAUGAAAGCAAAAAAACUUUCCUGCCAAAAGUUCCGAAAGUUUUGCAAACAAAUAAAAAAUAAGAGGGUUCAUCAUACAUAUAUAUUCAGUCAAGUUCAACUUUCUUCUCGAAUUUCAAAAAAAAGAGAGAAAGAAAGAAAAGAAAAGAAAACAAGAGCAAUAGUCAAUGGUCCUUAAACUUUCCAGUUAUUGCUGAUGGUAGCAACCGUUACUAUAAUCAAAAAGAAAGCCAAGAGUACCGGUAUACAAGCCCUCAUGACCAGGCAAAGAUUGAAGCAAUGCUAUUCGGUGGUUUCACCUCCUUCUCAAAGGAUCAUAUUAUGCCAUAGUAGUCUGUAUCAAUGCAUAUCAGGUGUAUCGUAGUGUGCCAAUGCUGAAUUGUAUGCAGUAAGGAGGGUGUACCGGGUAUUAGUACACCAAACUAACCCUCAUAUUAGGCAUACCAAGAUGGUACUGAUACGGGGUCCUGUAUUGAGAUUGCAAAUCUUGUAGACUCUAAUGGCAGGUUAUUGCACUAUGUUCAACUGCAGAUUCAUUAUUGCACCAUGUUCAACUGCAGAUUCGAUGAUUUUUACAUCAGGACAAACCUAGAACAAAUAAAAAAGUCCACUAUACAUUAAUAUUGCUCAUGGCAAAAUGAUUAGACAAUGUUCAAAUAAAUUAGACAUGCUUCAAAAAUGCAAUGUACACAUUGAUAUUCACAUGUCCAUGAUGCCAUUACAACUUAGAUGUCACUUUCCAGGGGUAUAGUUGAACUAGAUAAUAAGUUGGUUAUUGACAACAAAAUUUAGUUUCAUGGGAUGCUACGUACACAAGCCAAAAAACCAAAGCAAUAACCCAUGGUAAAGCAAACCCACACAGAGAGAGAGAGAGAGUAACCAAGUACCCUAUCAAGGUAAAAGCAAUUGGAAUUGCUAUUUCAGUCAGAGAUACAGUAGAGUUGAACACCAUAAACCAUACAGCGAUAUUGUUUAAAUCAAAAGCAGCAAUUUCAAAAUAUAAAGACUAAUUGGUCUACAGAUAAAAUGAGAAAUAGAGCAGAUUCCCACAAUAUGCAUAGAUAUUCUCAGUCCAAGAUGCAUCAUUACAUGUAACUAAAGAAGCGCAACAUCUUCUCUUUGAUUACAACCCACUUUCACUAUUAGAAGGAAGCACAUUCACAAUGCACAAUUAAGAACUACCAGGUGCUCUAUUCUUAGCAUGUAUCAUAGUAUUAUAUUUUUACUGUAGAAAUUCAAAAUACAAGGAUUUUUUCAGGACAUGCACAGCAGAUUGGCAUAGGCAUAUACAUACCAGUAAUGGAGUAAUUCAACUGAGAGAUCCAAAACCUGAAAAAUGCAAGAUGAAAGAAUUACAUAAGAUGAUUAGAACAUUUGAAUUCCCAACUUGAUUUUCUAAUGCGAGCAUUGAUAAUUUACCAAAUUACCUUUAACUCCAAUUACAACACAAACUUUUAAAUCAGAAUUGCCUACUAAGAUAGAUAAUAAAAAAGUUCAACACUUGAACCAAGAAAUCAUUGUAUAUAUUUCCAUCAUAGUUCUUCCAAGCCCACACAUCACCAAAUUCCUUGUUAGGUGCAAAAGGCAACCAUGACGUCCAUGAGACAACAUUCAUACUCAUUAAGGGGGUGUUUGGUUUGUAACCGAAAUCAGAAUGGAAAUCUGAAUCGGAAUGGCUUGGAAUCGGAAUCGGAAUGGCCAAAUCCUCCGAAACGUUUGGUUCGUAACCGGAAUCGGAAUUAGAAUGAAAAUUUGAAUCCAUAGAGGAGAGUAGGGAUUGAGUUCUAUAUAGAUUGAGCCAUUCCCAUUCCAUUCUGGAAUCGGAAUCAGAAUCGGAAUGGGAAUCCUCCCAACCAAACAAUUGGAAUGGGAGUCAUCCAUUCUGAUUCCGAUUCUAGACCCCCACUCCCUCCAACCAAACACCCCCUAAUUUACUUAAAGAUUUGAAUGUGUGACUGAUGCUAAGCAAUUGGUGGCAACUCACCAGAUUUCUGCAGCCACUUGCUUACACUUUUUGUUUAGUUUCAUGCAGGAAUGUCCUUAAAACUGCAGGAUGGAAUUAAGUAUGUGACAAAAACAGUAAGGGGAGAUAAUAACUGCAGAUUUAGAAGGGCACAAGAAAUUGCAAUGCAAAUAUUAGGUGCAAAUCUCCAAGUUUCUUCAAAUUAUUUUUGAUGCUAGGAUAAAGUAGCCACUUGAAUAUUUACCAGGCAGAGUCAUGUGAUAAAGAAUAAAUUAGCAGCAGAGAGAGCAUCAAUCAGUUAACUUGUAUAAUCAGCAAACAACUGGGCGAUGAUUUCACCCUCACAGUAUUAUACAUAGAUAAGACGACUCUGCCAGCACCAGUGAUUUUUUUUUUUUUUCAGUUCAGCAUCCUCUUAUUUUCCCUCUAGAAGUACAAACAUAGGAUGGAAGACUCAAUGAAAAGAAAAAGCGAAUGGUAAAAGAAGAAUCAGAAUUCACAAAAAUAACAUGGUAACCCAUGGGACUGAGGCCUUUUUAUCUUGGUACAAAACCAUGAAGCAGGAUUCCUCCAAUCAAAUCUGAACUUGCCAUGCCCCUUAGUACCUGCAUCAGUUCAUCAAUUCUGAUCACCAAAUGCAUUCUUUCAGUUACAAUAAGCUCUUUAAAUCCUGAGAACAGAACAUUUCAGGAUAGACAGGUAUAUAUGGUAUAGUUACACAUAUUAAGAAGUGAGCUGUGGAAUGUUUUUACAGGUAACUGGUUCUCUAAACACCUUACCUGCAAUAAAAACAUGCAUAUAGAUGAAAACAUGGUCACUCGGGCACUAGCGACCCUCAAAAUGCACUCAAGACAGAUCAUCCAACCAUUUAAAUUUUAAUAUCCACAUGGAUAGCAGGUUGAACUCCUUAACCCAAGUUUCAUCUGCAUGUAGAUAACCAAAUCACUCAUAGGUCAUGGCUUCUUCAUAUGGCAGGAUGGUGGAGAGAUGUGACUUCAUCUGGAGUAUUUGUUGCAUAUUUGAUCUCUAGUUUAUGCAUAGAAUAGAAUCACAAUAGUUUGAGUUGAAUAAGAAAACUAGAAUGGUAGGGAAAUGCAAAGGGAACAGAGGUUAUUGAAAUUAUUAUAAUGGUGAACAAUCAAAAACCAUGAUCAGCAAAUCUGUUUAGAUGACAUAAAGCAAGGAAAUAAAAAGCUUUAAAGUAUGAACCAAAUUACAGCAGUCCAUAAACAAAUAGCAAGGCUAUAUUUUCAAAUUGUAGAGAUUGACCAGAUCCACAAGCAUUACGAGUUAACUCUGUACUAGCAUGUAUUAGUAAUAUUAAACAUGAAAAUGUGAGAGCAACAGUGAACGGGGGAAGGCAUUAAAAUCUUUUCUCAUAAACCAUUGAUAGUUAACAACAGAUUGGAUGGUCCUGAAGUGCUGGACAUAGAUGAUGAUGACGAUGACAAUGAUUUCAGAAAAAAUAAAUUAUCAAUCUCUAUGGAUGUGAUUUUUCAGAUAAGGUGAUGUGAAUCACUGUACCUAAGUAUGUAAAAAAAUUAACCAAGCCUCACCUUGUAUUCAGAUUGACACAAAAGAACUUCAAUCUCAAGAAGUUCACCUGACUUGAAUAAAGAUAUUGCUUCCUGACAACAAUAAAACUAGGAAUACCAUGCAUUAGCAAAAUGUAAGAAGAAUGAUUACUAAAUUCAUGAGAAAUCUGGUUCAAUCAAAAGGGUAAAAAAACACAGCCAAUCUCAGAAUAGGUUAUAGGAGCAGAUCCCCACUUCAAGAAUUAACAGACAUGAGAACGAGAUAAGAAAGAAUCAAGUCGCCUCUUCAAGAAUCAAUAGAUAUGAGAAUGAGAUAAAGAGAGGAUCAUGUUGACAACGACCCAGCAGGAUAUUUUCAAGGAAUCACAGGAGAGAGAGAAUCUAGGGUUUUGAGUCCCCAAAAUAAGAGGGACGAUGCCAUCUAUGGCUUCGCCUUGCUUUUGCAUCCAACGGAGAAACCUCAUCUCAAAAAUUUCACCUGAAUACAGGAAGCGAUUGUUUCCAAUGGUAAUUACAAAACUAGAAUCGAAUUCAACGCAUGAAAAAGACCUAAUAAGAAGAAUCAUUAAAUCACUCCCAACCAAUCAAAGGAAGAAAACAAAGGCAAUCUCAAAACAGUGAAACAGAUCACCUCAUCAAGAAUCAAUAAAAAUAUGAGAGCGAGAUAAAGAAAUGGUCACAUUAGCAACGUACCUACCAGAAGGAUCCGCCCAAAGUAUCACCGGCGAGGAUGUAGGGUUCAAGUCCACCAUGAUCCCCAUUCCCCCGACAAUGCGCUCCUCUUUCCUUGAAGAGGGACCUUAGAAUUCUUGAAGGAGAUAUGGGUUUCCGGACGAGAGAUAUCCUUCUCUGUCCCUGAGAAACAGAGUAGAGGGAUCAAGCAGAUUAGGUUUUGGCGGGGAGGAGAUCCCCGAGGGUUUCUGAAGGGGAUCGGACGGGGAGAGAGGGGCGAGGAUGGUGUGGGCACAUGAGAU
rnacentral:lncRNA from 1 species